rnacentral:tRNA from 1 species
ACUUAAAUAGCUUAUUAAGAGCAUAAUAUUGAAGAUAUUAGGGUAAUUUUAGAAAUUUUUAAGUA